UAGAUAAGAGUUUGUCAAAUUAGCCUAAGACGAUUGCCUGUAAAAUGCAACAAAUUAAGAGUUAUUGCUACAUAAUCUUCAAGAAGCUAUGUAACAGGCAAGUCAUCUUUGGCUAAGAAACAAGACUCAUUUCU
rfam:Cucumis sativus cultivar 9930 chromosome 5, whole genome shotgun sequence.